GUUCCCGGCCCUGUCUGGUGCAUUCCCCCUGCUGCUGCCCGGUCGGCCGAGAAAGUUCCGGGCGACAGGUGGCCCGAGGCCCUCGAGCUGCGCGGACAGAGCGGCCCCGGAGUCGCGAGCGUGACGGGCUUGCUUGGAGGGCACUUGGUGGCCGGUAGCACCAUAAAGGCCAUAAUUUGGUGUGUGGGUGUGGGGGUGUGUGUGUUAACGGCAUUGGUUUGAUUCACACUUCUGAUGAAAGAAGCCUGUUUAAAAAAGAAAAGAAAAAAGAAGCCUGUUUAAAGGGUGCAGGGUGUUACGAUUGUUAACGUGCAGUGGGCAGUUCACCUGCUACGCUAUCCAACAGGCGCCCUGCUCAGGCCCGACCUCGCACUGCCGCGCGGGCCGGUCCCCCCCGGCCCGGGUAACUGGGACGUCCUGGGAAAAUAAAUUAAUCACGUACGGAGUGAGAGAACAGGAAACCUGCCGAGAAAAAGAUCGAUAAGCAGACAAUUACACCAAGCCAACUUCAGUGCAAUCGUUAAAGCUUACACAUGGGUGCACGCUUGGGAGCCGUGAGCUACCAUGUUAAAAGGCCAACUUCCUAAGGAAAAAUGAUGGAAAGAGAUCCCGAGAUCCUAUGAAAUGGAAGAGGGAGGACAACCCAGCUAUCCCAACAUCCCAGCUGAGGCCAGCCACACACGUGACUGUCUGCAAAGCCCGUCGGGCCUGGGUCCAGCUCAGGUUGCAGAAUUGUUGAUGGCUCUUACUUAAAGAUGCAGCUGGAAGAUGGAGUCUCGCUCUGUUGCCCAGGCUGGAGUGCAAUGGCGUGAACUCCACCUCCUGGGUUCACGCAAUUCUCCUGCCUCAGCCUCUUGACUAGCUGGGACUACAGGCACCCGCCACCAUGCCGGGCUAAUUUUUUGUAUUUUUAGUAGAGACGGGGUUACACUCUGUUAGCCAGAAUGGUCUCGAUCUCCUGACCUCGUGAUGUGCCCGCCUCGGCCUCCCAAAGUGCUGGGAUUACAGGCGUGAGCCACCGCGCCCGGUCCAGCCAUCUUUCUUAACGUGCAUACACGAUGUGACUCACUGGAGCCCUGAUAAGAUUAUUGAUUUCUUGAGGAGAACAAUGUUGUCGGAAACCUUCUCCAACUGUUGCUCACGGGUAUACAGUCAGGGCUGUCUUCCCAGAAUAUAAUGCAAGGAAACCUUGACCCAGUUCUCCAUGUCAUUUUCCUUUACCAGAAGGCCCUUUCGAGGUAUGGCAACUAGAUUUUUUCAGCUACCACCAUCACAAAGAUACAGGCACAUCCUAGUGAUGGUUUGUGUAUUUUCUCAUGGGUAGAAGCAUUUCCAUGCAGAAGAGCAGCAGCCUUGGCGAACCUGGACAGCUCUCAGCCGAGACCCUUCAUCUGGUGACGAAUGGACGUUGAAUAAAUACGUGAGAGACAGAGGACUGUGCUGUAUUCUCCAGGGCCCAGGAGGGCUAGUGCAGAGUGCCAUGCUUCUUUCCAGUGCUAAUUUGAAAAACCUCAGUGCACCGUGGGUCACCUGCACGGCCACCUUAGGAGUGAGUGUUGUUGUGGCACGGCCUGCACUCAGGACUGGGUUUAUCAUCAAGAACCUGGCAGGCUGCCUCUAAAGAGAGCGUCACCUGCUUAUGGGGCCCAUGUACGUCUUUCCACUGCAGCUAGACAAGUCCCGAAUUCAAAUGACGAUUACGCAUGUUAAAAGCUUGGACUAGGCCAGGUGUGGUGGCUCAUGCCUGUAAUCUCAGCACUUUGGGAGGCCAAGGCAGGCGGAUCACCUGAGGACGGGAGUUCGAGACCAGCCUGCCAACAAGGAUAAACCCCGUCUCUACUAAAAAUACAAAAUUAGCCGGUUGUGGUGGCACAUGCGUGUUAUCCCAGCUACUUGGAAGGUUGAGGCAGGAGAAUCGCUUGAACCCGGGAGGCAGAGGUUGCUGUGAGCCGAGAUUGCGCCAUUGCACUCCAGACUGGGCAAUAAGAGUGAAAUUCCGUCAAAAAAAAAAAAAAAAAGCUUGGACUAGUUAUGAAGUCAACACUUAUUUUUGCAAUGAGAAGACAUUUUCUGGCAGAGACCAGCCUAGGCAACAUAGGGAGACCCCAUCUCUACAAAAAAAAUAUGCAGACAAAAAAUUAGCCGGCCGGGCACAGUGGCUCACGCCUGUAAUCCCAGCACUUUGGGAGGCCAAGACAGGUGGAUCACCUGAGGUUAGGAGUUUGAGACCAGCCUGACCAACAUGGUGAAACCCUAUCUCUACUGAAAAUACAAAAAAAUUAGCCAGGCAUGGUGGCACAUGCCUGUAAUCCCAGCUACUUGGGAGGCUAAGGCAGGAGAAUCACUUGAAUCUGGGAGGUGGAGGUUGCAAUGAGCCGAGAUGGUGCCACUGCACUCCAGUCUGAGAGACAGAGUGAGACUCCAUCUUAAAAAAAAAAAAAAAAAGUGGACCAGGGAAGCACAAAACGUGCCAAUGUAUGAGUAUUUUAGAUAAACCCAAGCGACUCAUCUAUUAUGAAGAAUGCUGUUGAUUCGGAUUUUAUUGAUUGUAUAGUUUCGUCUUAUUUGAUUUGUUGUAAAUAUAAAGAGUUCAUACAUAAUUUCACACUUAGGUAUAGUUAAGUCAUAGCAUAAUUUUAAAAUACUUUGUUGAAAAUAUAAAGCCAUAGAAAUAUUUUUUUCAAAUGGGAUCCAUUUAUUUCUCAAGUUCAACACAAAGUAAUAAAGAUAGCUUACACAUAUGUUAAUGUUCGUUGGUUCUAAUCUAUCGGGGGGACUAACAAACUUCAAAUUUUUUAUUGUGCUGAAUGUGUUGAUACUUCGUCUCAAAGGUUCUGCCGGCUACAAAUUGAGUGAUGACUGCAGCUUAAUUUCUAGAGCUUACUCUACUCACAUAUAAUACUGAGAUAACACCAACAUCACGGGGAAUUUGUGAGCACUUGGUUUAUGAUGUGUGUGACCACACCCUGUAGACUCCUAGCAUAAUGUGAGUUAUCUGUGUAUGUGCGUG
rnacentral:lncRNA from 1 species